ACAGUGCUGUAUAAAAAUCAGUGCAUUCAAAUAAAAGGAAUGUUUGGGAACCCUGGGGAGAUGGAGCUGUCAGCCAGCUGAGGCAGGCCCUGUCUAGAGAACGGAUUAAUUCUGUCUCUUUUAUCUUGGCAGACUUUUUCUCAGGCUCUUUCCUAUCACAGGUGACUGAGGAUAUCAGCUAGAUAGCACACCUACAGACUCCGCCCUUCCCCAGGGCCUGAGUGAACAGAAGCUGGGAUGAUGGAGGACGGGCUACUGGCUGAUGGGAAAGGCAAAGAAUCACUGAGCUUGGACCAAGAGAUCCUUGGAAAGCUGGGGUGGGGAUGGCUUCAAAUCCCCCAUCAAUUCGCUCUUCCAAAAACACUGAUAUUUGGAUGUUGUACUGGCUGGUUUUGUGUGUCAACUUGACACAAGCUGGAGUUAUCACAGAGAAAGGAGCUUCAGGAAGUAGAAGAACAUGGAGUCCGCUUCAGGACCUCAACACUGUGAACUUCGCUAAACUGCACAUGACCGAGUGGGCCCUGAAGAGCUAGCUCUUAGCCGGUCCUUGCUCCUCUGCAGUUAGGCAUUCUGGACAGAAGACUACUGUCUUCGAGGGUAAACAGGGCCUCUCCCGUCCCUGACACUUAGCCUGAAGAUCUUCCACGGCCAAGCCAGCGUGAAUGUGCACCGCUUUGAUGCUUUGAGCUGCCAAGUUUUCCAGUCCCACCCCAUACCUUCCAUACCCGUGAGGCUGGUGACAAUGUCCUGGGCCACUUAAGGCUGAUCCCUAAGCCAAGUAAACCAGACUGGUGGCCUUUGAACUAAGGCAGUGCCAGCCUCUCUGCCUAGUUCUCCAAGUAGGGCCCAGGCCUGGAGCAAUACUGCGAGGUUCAAUUUGACAACUAUUGGGUGGCCCCUGACCUCCCCAGCCCUCUAACUCGUGACC
rnacentral:lncRNA from 1 species